rnacentral:tRNA from 1 species
AGGGUUGUAGCCAAGUGGUAAGGCACAGGGUUUUGAUCCCUGAAUUCACAGGUUCGAAUCCUGUCAAUCCUG